rnacentral:rRNA from 1 species
UGCGUAGGCGGCCUGUUAAGUCAGUGGUGAAAGGUAUCAGCUUAACUGAUGAAGUGCCAUUGAAACUGGCAGGCUUGAGUACAGACGAGGUAGGCGGAAUUUAUGGUGUAGCGGUGAAAUGCAUAGAUACCAUAAAGAACACCGAUAGCGAAGGCAGCUUACUAGGCUGAGACUGACGCUAAUGCACGAAAGCGUGGGGAGCGAACAGGAUUAGAUACCCUGGUAGUCC